UACGAAGGGUGCAAACGUUGCUCGGAAUCAUUGGGCGUAAAGCGCACGUAGGCGGCCUAUUAAGUCGGAUGUGAAAUCCCUCGGCUCAACCCAGGACGUGCAUACGAAACUGGUAGGCUCGAGUAUGGAAGAGGGUCGCGGAAUUCCCGGUGUAGAGGUGAAAUUCGUAGAUAUCGGGAGGAACACCAGUGGCGAAGGCGGCGACCUGGGCCAAUACUGACGCUGAGGUGCGAAAGCGUGGGGAGCAAACAGG
rnacentral:rRNA from 1 species